rnacentral:rRNA from 1 species
CUUGUACCACACCGCCCGUCAAGCCAUGGAAGCUGGGGGUACCUGAAGUCGGUGACCGCAAGGAGCUGCCUAGGGUAAAACUGGUAACUAGGGCUAAGUCGUAACAAGGUAGCCGUACCGGAAGG